UUUAGUUGAACCAGCUCGUUAAUUUCUUUUUGAAUGAUGAAAUUUGUCAAUUUAGGGUAAUUCCAAACUUUCAACUUCUCCAAAGAUGGUGAUGACAUGAGAGAGUUUUCCAAGCAAAUGCAACUCAAAUUUAUCAAGUUUACAAGUUGUAAAUCUUGUAGGCAAGGGAGUGCAAUGGCACAAUCAACUCCAUUCUUUUCUUUUGCCAAUUGGAAGACUUGUUGCAAUCGAGGAGAAUCAGUUACCCAGAAUGAUUUCAACUGUGGAAGAGCUUGAGCCAAAGGAAUUUGAAAAAUAUCUUCUAAUAUUGGACAAUGACUUAUUCUUAGAUUUUCCAAUUUCAGCAAGAACGAAGAAUAGUAUUUUGUUUCUAUUUCAGCAUCACAGACCAACUUGGUAAUAAUGUGUUGCAGUCCAUCACACUGAUCUAUCUUGAGUUGUUCAAGGAGAACCAAGCUUUGAGCAAGGGAUGGUGAGUAGAGAUAGUUCAAUCUAUUGCAGUAACUAAUUUCUACAAACUUCAAGCUUUGGAGGCUGACAAAACGGGUGGACCCUUUCCAUCUCCAAUUCAAUUAUGGUAAUGAAUUUAGCUUCAUAAGUGUUAAAUUUGACAACAGCAGUCCUUGAUUUUCUUUUGUAUCAUGAAGAAACUCAUCUAUUUGAAAUACUUCUUGCAACUGGCCACAAUUAAAACACUUUCACUUCCUUUAGAUUUUGUAGCGUAGAAGAUAAAGAGACCAUUUCCAUGCAAUUCCUAAUUGUCAACUUCUCUAGUUUUUGUAGAAAGCCCUUUGGAAACUGACCGUUGCACAACAUUUUCAAACCAGUCAUUUUAUGCAUGUAUAAUUCCACCAAAUUGAACAAGGAAUUGGUUGAGACAUGCCCUUCUGUUGUAUCAAUCAAGCAUUCAAGCUCCUCGCCAUCGUAAAGUGCAAGAAAAGUUAAUUCAUUAAGCCACUUUGAAUCUACAUUUGGAAUGAGAUUUUUCUGAUACAUGACUCCUUUCAGGGUAAGAUUUUUGACAUUGUGUAAUAACUCCUUCAAUGCAUGCAAUUGAACGUCGUGAUCAUAAAUUCACAACAAAAUGAAACACAUUAGAAAAAUAGAAAGGUAGAUAAUGCUCUUUAAAUCAGAAUUGAAUUUUUUUUCUAUGCAUAAAAUUUAAAACAUUCCAAAGCUUAUUAACGUUUGAAAAACAUACCAAAGCCUGGAAUAUAAAUAGUGUACACGCUGAAAUUUAUUGGACACAUGGAAAUAUGAUUUAGCAAUAAAGUACACGUGGCAUGCAUGUAAGGAAGGAAAAUAAAAUAAAAUUUUUUUAUUGCCAUGUGCUUGUUUUUUUUUUUAUUAAAUUCAUUAAAUAUUUUAUUCUAUCAUGCAACGUACCUGUCUGCUAUUGUCAAGUCAUGCUUUCACAUGUCCUAUAAAUGCUAGCUUGGCUAGGAGUUAAAAUACCCAUGGACUCUAUCCAAAUGAGGGUGCUUGGAUAAUGAAAAUAACAUUGUGAGAGCUUAAUAAAAGAAAUACCUUUAGUUGAAUUUGUUCUUUAACUUCUUUUUGAAUGGUAAAAUUUAUUAAUUUAGGACAGUUGUAAAUUUUCAACUUCUCUAAGUUGAUGAGAUGGUGAUGAGAUGAGAAAGUUUUCCAAACAAAAGCAACUCAAAUUUAUCAUGUUUACUACUCGUAAAUCUUGUCGGCAGGGGAGUGCAAUGGCACGAUUAUCUCCAAUCUUUUCUUUUGUCAUAGUCUUGAGACUCUAGAGAUUAAGAAAAUGGGUGAAUCCUCUCCAUAUGCAGCUCAAUUCUAGUAAUGACUUAAGCUUCAAACAAGUUAAAUUUGACAAUGGUUGUACCUGAUUUUCAUGGUAUAAAAAAAAUAUAUAAUUUUUUAAUUAAUAAAUAUUGAAAUAUGAAUUCAUUGUACUUAAAUAUUGAGAAGACAUAUAUUUUUGAAAAAAUAUAAAAGGAAGUGUUAAAAGCCAAUAAUUUAGAAAGGUUAGAUAGUAAUUAUUUAUAUAUUUGAUUAUUCAAUAAAAGAAAGGUCAUUAGAAAAAGAAUAUACGAGAGCAUUAUUAAAGGAAAAAUGGAGAGAUAAGAGGUACCUCUAGCUUACCAUUUCUUUGUCAAAAGUAAGUGCUUGCUCCAAUUUUUCGCAUUCAGAUAUGGAGUUUCUCUAUAUGCAACAAACUUUGAGUAAGGUAAGGUGAGAAGAUAGAUUUCAGUUUAUCACAACCUUGAAUUAUUACAUCCUUCAGACUUUGUGGGCCUACGUGAUGAGUUGGCUCUUUCCAUAUACUCUCCAAUGCUGGUGAUAGCUGCAGCUCCAACUUUCUUAAAUUUGAAAUCGUCCGCAUCUGACUUUCUUCCUUUCCAAGAAGCCCAUCCAUUUGAAACAGUGAUUGCAAUUGCUCACGAUAGGAAAUGCUCAAUGUUUCUAACUUCUUUAAGAUGCUAGGUGAUUGACCAUGACACAACUCUUUCAAAGAAGUCAUUUGACCAAUGUAUAAUUUCACCAAAUUAGAGAAUGCAGUGGUUGGACUUUGUUCUCGUGUUGUAUCGAUCAAGCAUUCCAGCUGCUUGCAAAAUGAAAGCUCAAGAGAAGUUAAUUCCUUUAGUUCGCACUGAUCUACAUUUGAGACAAUAUUUUUGUGUUCCAUGGUGACACCGAACAGAGUAAGCUUUUCCACAUUGCAAAACAGGUCCUUAAAUUCAUUUAAUGAAGAUGAGAAACAACGAAUUAUCAAGGUUCUCGAGCUUAGCCCCGCCAAAUCUUCAAGAUAUCCAUUUACAGUUAUGUUGUAGCUUUGAAGUUUAGGGAACACAAAGUUUUCUUGAGAACAUUGAUGAAUAGAAACUCUCAGUGUUAAUGCAGUCAAACCAGACAAAGAAUUCAGCUCCAAUAAGUUGACAUUGUUUGUACCUGUCACGUGUAGCUCUUGGAGUGACGGUAACUUGUUACACACAAAUACAAAAUGUUCUUAAUGCAAUAAUAUAUAGCACUUUUAACCGAAUGAUAAAAAUAGCAAGAUAAUGAAAUGAAUAAGAUAACAUUAACUUUUUUAUUUCGUCAUUCUUAAAGAUACUUUUGUACUACAGGUUGCAAUGUUUCAUAAUAAUAGCAGUGACCAAAAGCUCAUGCUAGAUGUAUAUUUGUUUGUGGGGAAAAUUACUUUGUUGCAUUCCAAAGUGAGAAAAAUAUAGUGAUUUUAAUCUACGUAAUUCCACUAAUUCUUCUGGAAGCUCAUGAAUAUUAGUUUGAAGCAAUGCCAAAACCUCGAGGUUUUCCACAUUCCACAAUGAUGAGAUGUUCUCAAGCUCACAAUUUGUAACACACAAAGUUCUAAGAUUUAUCAAGAAUUGAAGUGCUUCUAGUUUGAGUACAACAUCUUGGAGAAGUAAAAUUCAAAAGGUUCUCAUUCUUCCAAAAAAAAUUACACAAAACUCUCAAUGAAUUCUUUCCUUUUAGAAACAAAAUCAAGAGUUUUGAAAAUAACUUUGUUAGGAAGAUGAUUAAUCUCAAUGCUUCAAAAGAAAAUUACCGUACAACAUUCAAAACUUUCACUCAGACCAUUUCAUCAAUCCAUCUUUUACCAUGAAUUUAUUUUCCCCUCUCGAUGUUAUCAAAUGAGCCAAAUCACGAAUCACAUCAAACAUUUUUACAGAUUCUUCAUCGUAAGUUUUCAAUAACAAACUAGACUAUUGGAGUGUAAUUAGAGCUUCAUGAAUUUUCCUCCUUAAGACUCCAGUUGAGUCAACAUUACCAAACAAUCCUUGACCAAUUCCACAUAUAGUCAACAUCUCAAUUGAUAUUUCAAAAUCUUGUGGAAAAAGGGAACACAGCAACAAACAUGACUUGACAUUAUCAUCUUCCAAAUAAUCAUAACUAAGCUCAGACGGCUAUAGAUACCUCCACAAACAUAUUGAUUAUCCAAAUGUCUCGAGUCUUUGAGUCGUUGAUUUGCUAUUAUCCACCCAUUUAAACUUUUACCUUUUAGAGAGUUUGCCACAGUUACAAUUACAAGAGGCAAACCAUUGCAUUUACGAGCAACCUACUUGGCUACCUUCAAGGUGGGAGAGUCAUCUUCUACACCAGCUUUACCUUUGACUAAAGCCCAUGCUUCAUCUUCAGAUAAGAUUAUUUAGCUGAGCUUUCUUUUGACAAUUCAUUCGAGUGCACACUUGUUGAAGAAGCGUGGUUAAAAAUUUUUUUCAACCCUUGUGAUCAUCACCCAAACAUCAUCAAGGAUUAUAAGGAUGUUCUUCAUGUCCUUUAUUCUCAGCCACAAUUGUUCUGCUCUUCCUUCUCUAGUCGUCAUUUGAAGUUUUAAAUGUAGGAAGUCUGCAAAUUUAUCUUGAAUAUUGUUGAUGUUUGGAGUUUGGGACACGGAUACAAUCACAACUUCAUCAAAGAGUUGCUUGGCUUGCCUUCCCACUUGUUUUGCCAAAGUGGGUUUACCCACUCCUCCCAUCCCAUAUAGUCCAAUCAUGUUCACAUCAUCCUUUCUCAAAGCCUCCAUGAUCUCUUUGAAAGCAGAACUCGAGGAUUCAGAAGGCAUGAAAUCUUUAGAUGGAAUGAACUCUAUCCCUUGAAGAGGAAGACGCUGACUGACUCGUUGAAAAUUACAGGUCUCUGCUUAAAGUUGAGAGAUAUAAAGCGUCUUCUUUGCUACUUUGAUACUUAAGCAGUAUCGCCAGCCCCAACUAGGACACCAAUUGAAACACUUGUUACACUCUAUUUCUUCUUCCAAACUCUGAGCUUCUCCCAAUUCUAUCUCUGCCUUUGUUAGCCACUCCUUAACGUCCUUCUUAAUUACCUCAGUUUGCCUUACAGCCUCAUCGACAUCAUCUUGCACCUGAUCUUUUUUCAAUUGAAAAGCUUUUCGCUGCUUCUUGAAAUCUUCAACAAUUUUGGCAAAACGGAAAAAGUAAGUGAGAUAAGGUCAUGCCUAUUCUGCUGCCAGAUUCCCUACAGUAUGUAAGACUGUGAAUGGCAAUUGUAUUCAGCCUGCAACAACAUUGCCCAUAGACUAGAAAACUCAAUAUCACAGAGAGGAGAGGAAAGAUAUGGGAUGAAACAAGAAAGGGAAGCAAAAUAAAAAAACAAAAAAGAGAUGAAGGAACAUGACCCUCUCAAAGAAAUAAAAACCACAACAUUGUACACCAGCCAAUGAAAACCCACAACCUUAAAACAUGUCGGAUCAAAGCAACACCUUAAGUGCCCUUGAUGAGUGGACCAGUUUCGAGCCACAGUAGAGCAACCACACCUCACUGCAAAAUACAAUAAAAAUAAAACACAUUAAGCACAAUGAAUUAAUGUCAGAAAAUGAUAAUGGCAGAUGUAGUGAGCAUAGACAAACUAGUCAUUUCAUUUGUUUUUUAUUAACCUUCCAUGCAAUUAAAGUAAAAAAGGGUGGUCAAACAGAUUCAGCAUGCUUGCAUUCUUUCUGCUUUUGCUAAGUGCCAGGAAUAAUUAUGAAAAUAUGUAUAAUUCAUAAAAUCAUGUUUACCUGCUGUGGUUGUUGGUAAGCUCCUGGUUGCUGGUAAUUCCCGUAUCCAAGAUAGCCCCCACAGUACAUGUUAGGAUCUUGGGGAGGAGGUGCAUAUCCAUAUGCUUCAAAUCCUUGAGCAUAUCCAUAACAUCCACCAUUCCACUGGGCCUGAUCUGGUUGAGCCUGAAACUCCAACAGAUUUCCCUCCUAGUUUGCAGAAAUAUAUAUAGCAAGGUUUUAAUUACAAAAUACCAUGAUUUUAAAUACAAAACCUGAUUGCUUGAAGGACUACAUCCCCAUGAAAGUCAAAUGUUUCUUCCUCCUAAUACGAUGCCAUUCAAAACUGAUAAAGCUUGCUCCGCGUUAGUCCUGAAGUAUAUCAAAUUGCAGAAUAAAUUAAUAUAAUAUAAUAAUAUUUCACGCACUUAAAUAUUCGGAAGAAUUUACAGCUUACCUGUUAGCAUAUUGAACAAAACCACAACGCUUGUUAGCAGGAAUUUUUACAUGAACUACCUCACCCAGCUGGCUAAAUAUUUGUUUUAAUUGGUCUUCAGAAACACUAGGAUCCAAACCACCAACAAAUAUCUGCAUUUAAGCAUCUAAGAUUUCAGUUGACCACACCAUGAAAUAAGUAUAUUAAUAUAUAUAAAAAGGCUACCCACUGUGGUAUUAUUUGGAUCAUUCUCGCCAGGAUUUCCUUGAGUAUUCUGGUAAGAAGCUGCAAAUGAUAAAUACUUGUAAACUACCAUAGAAUGAGAUGAUAAAAAAGCUCAUUACUUCUCAAAACUCAAUUUAAACAUUGUUGAAAAAACCAAAGCAUUAAGAUAAUACACUUAAAAAUACUAAAAAAGUUCAAAAAAAUUCCCUCCGUGGCAUGCAAAAGAACAAAAAUGUAAAACCACCAGCUAUACAUCACUCAAAAGUUACAAUUAAAACCAUAAACCUCCUUUGGGUUACAUCAAGGCUUACCAUUACCAGGGAAAGUAAAAAGUAUCAGAUUAAAUGGAUUUCAAUAGUAGCCCAAAAAGAAAUCAUUAAUUACAUUACACUCAGGGAAUCAGUAAAGGUCCUAUUCUUUCAUUAACCUUUUACAAUAGCAUGAAAAGGAGAAAAAGGAAAAUUGAAAUCAGAGACUUAACUUUUCUCUGCACUUGACAAGAAAUAUUUCCUUUUUCUCCUUUCUUUCACACAUUUUUUGUAAGGGGGGGGGGGAGGGAGGGAGGAAGUUGUCGAGGCUUAAAUAGAAUGAUUCACAACUUCAACUUCAAAGAUUAUGUUUUAGUAGAAAGAACCUAUCUGCUAAACUAAUUUCAGAAAUGCUUUAACAUUCUCUGCGUAGACAGAAACCUAUAGAGAUUAUAUUAGUAGCCACAAAAUGAUAAGAUGAAGAACAUAUUUAGAAACUAAGGAAAUUCCUCUAAACUGAAGUGACGCAAAACCGCAAAUGACAAGUAGAAAAAGAAUGCCUUGAAAAUGCAAUAUUAAUACUGGUAGAUGCAUACACAGCUAGGCCUGCACUAUUUAGGUUUUCGAAAUAAAGCAUGGACGAGUGAUCCACUUCCAUUGAGGUUUAAUCCAUUAACUGAAAAUGCCUUUAACUACAAGUUCCAGGUUUCUUUCCUGACUCAAUUUGUCCUCAUUUGUAAAAGAACAAUAGAAUGAGGACAAAGAAGUUACUAUAACUUUUAAAAGAAGCACAGAUAUAAAAUGCAAUAGAACAAAAACUGCCCCAAGGUUCAUUAACAGAAUGGUGCAUGAUAACAUCCAUAGCAACUUUACCCAUGGCUGCUUCACCUAGUUUUGAGCAUUACAGGUUGAAUUUAAAGGAAACAAAGAGGAGUGUGUAAACAUAUGCAAGUAUCGAAAGGGAACUGAUCUAUGACAAAAUUAAAAAAAAAAAAAAAAGUUUCUAGACUGGUAAAAUAAUCUAAAGAAAGAUUUAAAGGAAACAUGUUGGGAAAACUGAAACAAAUUGUACUUGACUGGAAUACUUAAUAAGGAACUGGAAAAGUAAUUUACAAAUGUAGCACAAAUACUGCCACAAGAAAAUGAGGCUUACGACAUAAACAAAGUAACUGACCUAAAAUGAGGCCACGCAUUAAAGUGGAAUCAUUUCAGCUGAUACCAGUUCCAGGAUCCCCAAAGUGAAAGCCUCUUGGUGUCCUGCUUUAAGACAACAUGAGCUUUAUAUAAGGUUGUGAAUGUUUUAAUAUAAUUAAACGUGCCCAAGUUUACAAAGGCAAAUUGGAAGGAAAUGACUUUGCAUAAAUUCCGCUGCUCUUCAAGUGCAUAACUGAAAGAAUUCGAAUUUUGAGGAUACUGUAACAACUAACAAGUAACAACUUCAACUCAGAAAAUUAAAACCCAAAAACAAAAAUAGAAUAACCAACAAGCAUUCAACUUGUCAAGUCAAAGUACUCUAAGAUAAAUCAUGGCAAAUAAAAACUAUUUAAAAACCAUGCAACCUUCAUACGUAAAUCAAGAUAAAUAAUGACCUUAACAAAACCCAUAAGAUAGUACCUUUCGGAUACUGCUGACCAGUGACUGGCUUCUUAUUAGCAGCUGGACCAAUCCGCAUUGCCCUUGUUGAACAAUAAAUCCCGUUCAUUUCGGUCAUGGCACGAAGCUGCUCAGUUUCAUCACCAAACCUCACAAAGCCAUAACCUUUAGACCGUUCUGUAGUCCUAUCAGUGACAACUUUGGCACCCUUCACAGAUGGGUAAACAGCUUUAAAAGUCUCUUGCAACAUAUAAUCUGAAACAUCAGCAGCCAAAUCCCCAACAAAGAUUGUGUAAUCAGGACCCUCAUCUUGCCUCUUUUCCCCAUAUCCGAGUGCCGCCCAAUUCAACCUAAAAUUCUGCUCAGAAUUCGGCAUUGGCACCCCAUUAUACGACUGCAAAACCCUCUCAGCUGCCGCACGUGACACAAACUCGAUAAACCAUACCCCUCUGGUAGCCCCGUUUGCUUAUUCCUAAUCACCUUAAGCUGCAGCCACCUAAAAAACCCCAAAAAAUAUUAAACUUCCUUUAAUUACUUCUUACUGAUUUUUUUACUUAAGCAGUUAAGUUUAAAAGGAAAAGAAAUGAAAUUCAUUUAAAUAACAAAAGGGAAUAAUAUUUUGAUUUAUUAAAAUAUAAAUAAAACUGCGAAAUUUAUUCCACUAUAUUUGCUCCGUUUAAUUAAAUUUUAUUAUAUUUUUUUACUAUUUUACUAUUUACUUAGGCACUCUUAAAUCUUUUUUUUUUUUCUAAAAGCCCCUAAUUUUUUUUCUAAAAUAAUAUAAUUAACUAAUUAAUUACCUCUCCAGUGUGAGCGAAGAUGUUGAUGAGGUAAUUCUCAUCCAUCCACUGCUGAAGAUCACCGAUCCAGAGGGAUCGAAUCUCGCUGGAGCCGGCGGAGACUGAACCGGUGGAGUACUGCUCAAUCUGACCGGGCGGAGGAACGGGUUGCGGAGCCCAACCGGAAGGUGGAUGAACCGGCUGACCCGCCUGCUGCUGCUGUUGUUGUUGUUGCAUCAUCAUCCACGGCUGCGACUGCGGUUGCUGCUGUUACUGCUGGGUUUGAGACUGAUCGGCUGCCAUGGACUGCGGCGGAGCUACGCCUCCUGCUGGGGGUUGUUGCAUCAUACUCGAUAGAUAGAUAGGUAAGAGAAUCGGGAGAUCUCAGAGGAGAGGAAACCUUAGGGGUAAAUUGAAAUUUGGUGCUAAUAAGUAUAGAAAAAAAAUUUAAAAAUUAAGUAAUUAAAUGGAAUUGAAAUUUGAAAAUUAUUAAUAUAUUUUUAUGGUAUAAAAAUUAACUAUUAUUUUAUUUUAUUCCCUUUAUAAAUUUUAUGACUUUUAAUUAUGAUGAUUUAGGAGAUGUUUGAUAAAUUAUUUCUUAAUCUAUUAAAUAAGAAAUUUUUUUUUAUCAUUUCCCUUCGUCUCAUUAUCUUUGUUAUUUAUUGAUUUUUUUUUUGUUAAAUAAACUCUAACUUUGAUCAUUAUUUUUAAAAAAUUGCGAAGUUAUAAAAUUUUGAAUUUUAAAUUUUUUUAUUUUUUUUUGAAUUUUUAAUUUUAUAUAGUAGUCGUGUAAUAUGAUAAGAGAGGUACAACAUGGUAAGAAAAAGAAAUUAAAUUGAACUUAAUAAUUCUAAGUGCAUGUAGAAAUGGUCCAAACCCUUUUUAUAAUUCUUAGUGUAAGCAUUACUUAGUAAAAUUUUCUUCUAUCAAUGAGUAAUUACUUCAUUUUAAAUGCUUUUUGUGAACUUGUUGCCUGAACUGUACUACCAUGGCCAGAUCUUACAGGCUGGAGUACCAAUCAAACUCUCAAUGUUUCAAUAAACCACUUGGAACCUUCAUAAAAUAAAAAUCUACUUGGCUUGUAUAGGAAAAUUAAAGUUUAAUUUCCCAUGUCUUGAUUUAAAAUACAGAAAUAAAGAUAAGAAACAGAAAAAUUUUAAGCUUAUUCUUCUACUUAUUGUAGAUACAGAGAGAAAUAUAACAUUGAUUAGGUAAAUUAUUGAAAGCAAGUGAUCCCUUUGCUUGACAACUCUGUGAAGCCAACAUCUUGAUCAACCCAAAGCACAAUAAUUUCAACUACCUGUUUUUUUGUUUAUGUAAAUAAUAAAGAUUAGCACAAGUAAACCACUAAAAUUUGAUUAGGACUAGGCAAACAAGUGAGAGAAAUGAAAAUGGAAAGUAGCCUUUGAUUUACCUGUGUUUAGUUAAUGGCUCCAACGUACUCAUUGAUGUUUAAACAUGCCUUUGCAACUUCCCCUGCAAUCAUCUCAUAGUUCUUCCUUGUAAGGUGGUAGCCUGUAACAAAUGCUCUUGGACCGUAGAAUGGUCUUGGCGUCUUGCUUAACUGGUUGCGGUGUCUUUUUAAACAAUUGAAACAAGGAAAUGUAAAACAAAAGUAUUAAUGUUACAUGUUAUGAGAGUAAAAGAAAAAAUAGACAUAUUAUAAUUUAUAAGCAUUUUAGGCCAAAAAUUCAUUAAAAGUAAUGAAAUCAUUCACUAAAAGUGAUAUUCUAGACCAAUCUUUUUGUUGCAGUACUACUACUCAAUCAUUUAAGUAAUUUUAGUGAAGACUUUGAAAAAUUAUGCAGUAUAAUAUUAUUAAAGACUCUAAUUGCCUUUGCACAUACUAAAUAAAAGCGUAAACUUAAUUCACUAAUCAAUAAUAAAAACUCUUAAUCAUCAAUAACGAUUAUGUUGGGAGGAUAAGGAGAAUGAAUAAGGUAUUUUUAGUUUUAGUGAAUAAUAUUCUUGCAAAAGUCCAUGAAGAUGGCUUCAAAGGAUUUGGGAUCAAUUUGGAAAGGUUGUCAAUACAUUGUAGAGAGAAAUAAACGCAAAUACAGUUAGAGGUAUCCUUUUAUCAUAUUUGGAUAUUUUAAUAAGGAUAAAAAAGUAGUCCAAAAUUUAAAUGGAGUCUGGCUUCUUAACCAAAGGCUAGAGGUCAAUAUAGCCAGCUAAGGAAGCCAUGAUUCAUUCUGAAGGAGGAAGCAAAAAGGAAGCUUCUGAUGCGCCUAGUGUUAACCACAUUAGGAACGGAACCUGCAGUGGGAUUUUGAGACAACUUGGUUUUAUUCACUAAGCCAUCUUAUGCUCUGUUAUUGAAAGGUGCUUUUGAAAAAGGUGGAGCUUCAAAUGAAGAGAGAGAGAAGAUGAUCUUCAAUGUCUUAACAAGCAUGGAAAACAUGCUUUGGUUGAAGAGAAGUGAUGUGGUAACAACAUAAUGUAAUUCAGAUUUAGCAAAUUUAAUGGAAUUAUUUAAAAUGGAAGGCAUUUCAGGGCUGCUUAUGAGGAGUUUGUCUCUCAAAAGAAUUUGUGCUAACCUUUGAGGAUAAGGAGCUGUUGGAAGCGCUCAAGGAUAAAGGUUGGGAUUGGCUUAACAAAUGGUUUACUAAGGUGGAAACAUAGUUAGAGAAUUUUUCAUCAAAACUCCUUAACAAGUGGGUGAUUGCACAGGAUAUCCUUUUGAUGUGUGAAAUAGGCAUAUUAUAAAUUAUAAGCAUUUUAGGCCAAAUUCAUUAAAAGUGAUAUUCUAGACUAAGUUUUGGUUGUAGUGUCAUUCUCAAUCAUUUAAGUAAUUUAAAGACUUUGAAGAUUAUGCCUUAAAAUAGACAAGACUAAAGUUUUCAGGGUGUAUACCUCUGUUUUGGCAUGCACAUAUUCCUUUGAAUCUAUGAAGAAACCUGUAGUCAUCUUGGGACAUCCUUCUACUUUGAAAUAAUGCAAAGCCGACAAUACAAAGUGAUAUCCCCUUGGACAAAAGUCAACGAGGCUUGGUAGUUCUUCAAGUGAUAAAGUCAUUAAUUGAUCAAACUUUAUCUCUUUUUCGGUUGUCGCUUCUGCUUCAUCUUCAAGUUCAAAUACUUGCUCCAAUUUAGAGUUCCCUAUAACCCAUAACUUUUUAAGUUUUGGAAGACAAAGAGCAGAUCCAAGAGGAAGGAGACGUUUCAACUUUUUGCAAUAUUGAACAGAAAUCAUGGUCAAAUUAGGAAAGCUUAUAGGUUGGAGAUCACCAUCUGAUGAUGAACAAACUUGAUCCUCAGCAAUGAUUUGGUCCAAUUCAUCACAAUUUUGUAUUUCUAGAUUGACCAACCGUGAUAAACUUUGAGCAGUUGUAGGUGAAAAUAUGUAUCUUAGCCUCUUGCAAUCAAUCACCUUCAAAAUUGUAAGGUUUUCAAGAGUUACAACCUGAGAGACAUCCUUCCAUAUAAUCCACUUUUCAGAUAAAUCCUCCAGGUGGAGUUCCUUUAUACGUCCAUGAACCUGAAAUAGCUCUUCAUGACUCCCAACUGCUAUAUAUUCUUGAUUGCAAUUGGCUGAAAUACGCAAUUGAAAGCUAUUUCCCAACUUAGAGAGAUAUAAUUCCUGCAAAUACAUUUCUGUUGUAUUAGAUUGGGAACGGAUGAGCAAAUGUUACUCAUAAUUUUUUAGAUGCCAAUUCACAAGAAAUCCUUAUAUUUUUAAUGAUAGGACAUAAAUAUGUUUCAAAAUUACAUACAAAAAACAUAAAAGAAAUGAACCCCCCCGGAAAGCCUAACUUUCUCAAUCUGUUUCUCUUGUCUGAAACAGAAAGUAGAAACACUUUGAAUAAAGAAAAAAAGGGAACUCAAGGCCAAGAAGAAAAAGAGAACUUAAAUUGAAGAAGAAAGAGAAAAUUCGAAUCAAAGAAAGCAAGAGAAACUAGAAUCGAAGAAGAAAAAGGAAGCUCGAACAAGAAAAAAGGCAAGUUUUGUCGUCAUGAAGAAAAUAUAUGACGAACCUCAAUUCAGAAACAAGGACAAGGAAAACCCAAAAAUCCCCACAAACAAAUUAAAAUAUGUUUUUCAAAAUAAAUAGUAUAAAAUUUGUGUGCUGCAAUUUUAAAAAAUAAUUGGAUUAGUUUGUGAGUGUUGAAAAAAAGAUUUAGCUCAAAGGCAAAAUCCAAAACCAUAAUUGAAGGAAAAGUGUAUAGAGAAAUACCUCUAGCUGAAUUUGUUCAUUAACUUCUUUUUGAAUAGUGAAAUUUCUCAAUUUAGGACAGUUGCAAACUUUCAACUUUUCCAAGGAUAGUGAUGAGAUGAGAAAGUUUUCCGAACUCAAAUUUAUUAAGUUUACAAGUUGAAAAUCUUGUAGGCAAGGGAGUCCAAUGGCACGAUGAGUUGGCCAUUUCCAUAUGCUCUCCAAUGCUGGUAAUGACUGCAGCUCCAACCUUCUUAAAUUUGAGAGUGGUACUGUCUGAUUUACCUCACAUAAAGAAAAAUAUAAAAUUUAUUAAUUAAUAAAUAUUGAAAAUGAAUUCUUUAUACUUGAUCUUAAUUAUUCAAAAGAAAUACAUUUUGUUAAACAAAAGUAGAAAGAAGUAUUAAAAGUUAAUAAUUUAAAAGGAUUAGAUGAUAAUUAUUUAUAUAUUUGAUAAUUAAAAAAAAUCAUCAGAAAAACAAUAUACAAGAGCAUUAUUAAAGGAAAAAUGGAGAGAUAAGAGUUACCUCUAGCUCGGCCAUUUCUUUGUCCAAAGGAAAGACUUGCUCUAAAUUUUUGCAUAAAGAUAUCCGAAGUUUCUCUAGAUGCAAUAGACUUUGAGCAAGGUAAGAUGAGAAGAUAGAUUUCACUUUAUCACAACCUUGAAUUUUUAUUUUCUUUAGACUCUGUAGGCUUACAUGAUGAGUUGGCUCUUUCCAUAUACUCUCCAAUGCUGGUAAUGAUUGCAGCUCCAAACUUCUUAAAUUUGAUAAUGGUUGUACUUGAUUUUCCUGGCAUAAAGAAAAUAUAUAAUGUUUUAAUUAAUAAAUAUUGAAAUAUGAAGUCAUUGUAUUAAAUAUUGAGAAGGCAUAUAUUUUAAAAAAUGUAAAAGUAAGUGUUAAAAGUCAAUAAGUACGAAAGAUUAUAUAGCAAUUAUUUAUAUAUUAAAUAAUUCAAUAAAAUGAAAGAUAAUUAGAAAAAGAAUAUAUGAGAGCAUUAUUAAAGGAAAAAUGGAGAGAUAAGAGGUACCUCUAGGUUUGCCAUUUCUUUGUCAAAAGCAAAGACUUGCUCUAAUUUUUCGCAUUUAGAUAUCUUAAGUGUUUCUAGAUGCAACAGACUUUGAGCAAGGCAAGGUGAGAAGAUAGAUUUCAGUUUAUCACAACCAUGAAUUGUUACUUCCUUCAGACUUUGUAACCUUACAUGAUGAGUUGGCUCUUUCCAUAUAUUCUCUAAUGCUGGCAAUGACGUCAGCUCCAAACUUCUUAAAUUGGAGAUCGUCCACAUCUGACUUUCUUCAUUUAUAAGAAGUCCAUCCAUUUGAAACACUGAUUUUAACUGCUCACAAUUGAAAAUUCUCAAUUUUUCUAGCUUUUUUAAGAAGCUAUUCGGUGAUUCACCAUGGCACAACUCUUUCAAAGAAGUCAUAUCUUCAAUGUCUAAGUUCACCAAAUUAGAGAAUGCAGUGGCUGGACUCUGUUCUCGUGUUGUAUCAAUCAAGCAUUCCAAAUCAUCGCAAGAUGUAAGCUGAAGAGAAGUUAAUUCAUUUAGUCCCCACUGAUCUACCGUUGGGAUAAUAUUUUUGUGUUCCAUGAUAUUGUACAGAGUAAGCUUUUCCACAUUGCAAAAUAGCUCCUUGAAUGCAUUUAAUGAGGAUGAGAAAUCUCUAAUUCUCAAGGUUCUCCAGCUCAGCCCCUCCAAAUCUUCAAUAUAUGCAUUUACAGCUAUAUUGUAGCUUUGAAGUUUAGGGAACACAAAGUUUUCUUGAGAACAUUGAUGAGUAAAAACUCUCAGUGUUAAUGCAGUCAAACCAGACAAAGAAUUCAGCUCCAAUAAGUUAGCAUUGUUUCUACUUGUCACGUGCAGCUCUUGAAGUGAGGCCAACCUGUUACUAACAAAUACAAAAUGUUAUUAAUGCAAUAAUAGCACUUUCAACUGAAUGAUAAAAAUAUCAAGAUAAUGAAAUGAAUAAGAUAACAUAAACUUUUUUAUUUCUUCAUUCUUAAAGCUACUUUUGUACUACAGGUUGCAAUGUUUCAUAAUAAUAGCAAUGACCAAAAGCUCAUGCUAUAUAUAUAUAUAUAUAUAUAUAUAUAUGUUCGUGAUAGUCAAAUCAAAUAAAGUAAAUAAUAGAAAAAAAAGAUAAAAUAAAUGAUAUAAAAUUAAAUAAUUGAAAACAAUAAGAUAAACAGUUUUACCUUGAUAGCAAGUUAGAGGGGAAAUAGCAGUAUGGCCUUUCAUUGUAAGAAAAAUAUAGUGAUUUUAGUUUAUGCAAUCCCACUAAUUCUUCUGGUAGCUCAUAAAUAUUAGUCUCCAGCAAUGCAAAAAUCCCGAGGUUUUCCAGAUUCCUCAAUGAUGAGAUGUUUUCAAGCUCGCAAUUUAUAAUGCACAGAGUUUGAAGAUUUGUCAGGAAUUGAAGUGCUUUCAGUGUGAGUACCACAUCUUGAAGAAGUAAAACUCGGAGCAUUGUCAUUCUUUCAAAAAAUGCACACGAAACUCUCAAUGAAUUCUUUCCUUUGAGAAAUAAAAUCUUGAGUUUUGAAAAUUCCACUUUGUUAGGAAGAUGCUUGAUCUCAAUGUUUCAUAAGGAGAUUGCCGUAUAAUAUCCAAACCUUUCACUCAUAGGCCAUUCCAUCAACCCAUCUUUUACCAUGAAUAUAUUUUCCCCUGUCGAUGUUAUCCAAUGAGCAAAAUCACGAAUCACAUCAUGCAUUUUUACAUGCUCUUGAUCAUCAGCUUCCAAUAAUAAACCAGACUUUUGGAGUUUUGAUAGUGCUAGAUGAAUUUCCCUCCUUAAGUCUUCCAUUAAGUAAUUAUUAUUGAACAAUCCCUGACCAAUUCCACAUACAGUCAACAACUCAACGCUAAUCUCAUAAUCUUCUGGAAAAAGGGAGCACAACAAGAAACAUGACUGGAUAUUAUCUUCCUUCAAAUAAUCAUAACUAAGCUUAAGGCAGCCAUAGAUACCUCCGCAAACAUCUUGAUUAUCCAAAUGUCUUGAGCUUUUGAGUCGUCUAUUUGCUGCUAUCCAUCCAUCUAGAUUUUCACCUUUUAGAGCGUUUGCCACAGUUACAAUUGCAAGGGGCAAACCGCCACAUUCAUGAGCAACCUCUUGUGCUACAUUCGAGGUUGAAGAGUCAUCUUUUAGAGCAGCUUUAUCUUUGAAUAAAGCCCAUGCUUCAUCUUCAGAUAGAAUGUUCAGUUUAAAUUCCUUUUGACAAUCCAUUUGACUGCAGACUUGUUGAAGACGUGUAGUGAGAAGAAUUUUGCAACCUUCGUGCUUACCACCAAAUGGAAUUCCUAUAGUCUGCAAUUCAAGUUUUUUCCAAACAUCAUCGAGAAUUAUGAGAAUCUUCUUCUCUGCUUUUAAUUUUCGCCAUAACUCUUCUGCUUUUCCAUUUUCUGUUCUGGCUUCAAAUUUUAAACCAAAGAGUUCUGCAAUCCUUUCUCGAAUUUCGUUGAAGUUUGGAGUUUGGGACACCGUAACACUCACAACCUUAUCAAAAAGCUUUUGUUCUGUAGCUUGCUUCAGUACUACUUCCGCCAAAGUUGUUUUACCAACUCCUGGCAUUCCGUAUAACCCAAUCAUGUUCACACCAUCGCUUUUUAAAGCCUUCAUGAUCCCAUUGAAAGCUAACGUUGAAGAUUCGGAACGCAUGAAAUCCUUGGGUAGUAGCAACUCUAUUCCUUGAAGAGGAGGACGCUGGCCAACUCGUUGAAAAUUACAAGUCUCUACAAGUUUAGAGAUACAAAGUGUCUUCUUCGCUACUUUGAUACUUAAGCAGUAUCGCCAGCCCCAACUAGGACACCAAUUGAAACACUUGUUACGUUCUAUUUCUUCUUCCAAACUCUGAGCUUCAUCCAAUUCUUUCUCUGCCUUUGUUAGCCACUCCUCAACGCCCUUCUUAAUUACCUCAGUUUGCCUUAAAGCCUCAUCGACAGCAUCUUUCACCUCAUCUCUUUUUGAUUUAAGUUCAUUUCGCCGGUUCUUGAAAUCUUCAACAAUUUUGCCAAAACGGAAAAAGUAAGUGAGAUAAGGUGAUGUGUAUUCUGUUGCCAGGUUCCCCACGCAAUUGGCAAUAGCAGAGGCAACAAAAUCAAGAGCCAUUCUUUGAUGAUCUGAGACUGAAAAACAACUUGGAUGAGUAAAAAGUUUUACAAAUAUCUCUCAACCUAGGAUGAAAGGAUUACUUAACUUGAAAAUAGAAAACAAAUGUCGCUGCAUCUAAAUUCGCAAAUAUAUACUCAAAUGUAAAACCAACACAAAUAAACCAAAGAAGAAAGAGAUGAAGAUUUACGUACCAAGGAAAUCUAUAGAUGAACUUUUAGGAGCCAAGACGGACCAGCUUCUAUUUUGAUCUAAGCAAUCUCACAAACUCGGUGAAGGUCUUUUUUUUUUUUAAGUUCAAAGAAAACUGAAGCAGAAAUGAACUUUGCACUGCAACAAUCAGAAGAUCAAGGAAUUAAAAAAUAACAGACUUUCACUUAUCUUCUUUUUAAUUCUGCUUCUGAUGCAAAGGAACAGAGCAAACCAGAAAGAGCAAAGUAAACAGAGCAACUCUCAAGGCAAGAAGAUCUUUUUUUUAAAAGCAUCCCCUUUCUUUCCGUAAAGCAAAGAGGUGAGCUUACAAAAAAGAAAUUAAUUUAACUGAAAUCUUUUCUUGAAACUUACCUCUCUAUUCUCACCACUAGAAUGUGAAAGGGUAAGAGACAAACACAAAGUUUCUAGCUCUCUGCUUCACACAAAUGCCACGGGUGCAGUGUAACUGUAUAAGAUCAAAAGAGUUAAUUUGGACAUAGAAAAUAAUUCAGUGCCAAUUUUGCAGGUAAAGUUUGCAAAUGUAUACUCAAUUGCAAAAACCAAGACAAAAAUAAGCCAUGGAAGAAAAUGAUGCACAUAUAUACCAAUGAAAGAUGGAAGUUUCAGGAGCCAAGGCCAAGCUUUUGUAUAAUGAUCGAAGAAAACUCAAGUAGAAAUCAAGUUUGUACUACAGUAACCAAAAGUCCACUGGCAGAGGGAAUUAAGAAACAACAAACAUUUGUCAACCUAAGAUCAAAAGAACAACUUAAUUUGAAAAUAGAAAAUAUGCGUCAAAAUAUCUAUUUAUUUCAGUUUUUUCUCAAUAACUACAGCUUUUAUUUGACCAUGUUGUCGUCAAGGGCUGGGAAAGAAAUAUAGUGUAAAUUGAUUAAUUUUAUUUGCCAAAUGAAGAACUCGAGAAGUCAAAUGCAUUAGUAAUAAGAGAAAUUGAGCAUAGCAAAAGCUAUAUAUGGAGAAUAUAAUAUGUAUUCUGGAAGCUUACCUCACCUCGAAUGGAUCUUCUAAAGCUUUGUUUUUUAGAUAGAAAGCAGAAAAACCAAAAUAGUAGAGAUAGCAGCUUUGAUUUUUUUUUUUGGCUCUGUGGAGCUAAGGAAAGGAAAAGUAGGGAUCAAAGAACAGUUUUUGGUUUUUUUUUUUUUUUGUGAGUUAAAAGAAAAUGAGGAAAGUAGAAACCAAUGAAGAUAAAGCAACGGAGAUGCCUUCUUUUUUUGAGUUGAAAGAAAAGUGGAAAUAUCAAGGAAAAUGAAAUGGAAGAGUAAGGCAGAAAUCAAACUAAGUCUUUGGGGUGGUGUAGCUCGCAGAUGUGGAGAUGAUAGAAGAAGAAGCUUGAAUGGAAACUCGAUGACGACAAAGUAAUAAGAGCAGGUGUAGGAAAAAUAUUAGCAACUUGAGUCAAAGUCCUCCCAUGCUCCCAUGUAAGUUUCCCCACCAAUUAAUGAACCAAUAUGAUUCUCUUUUCUUUGAUAAUGCAGCUACAUUGAUAAAAGUAUGUAUAGGAUACUAUUGAAAUUAGGAACAAUGGACAUAUAUUGGCAACUUGGCUCAAACUCUUCUCCUACUCCCAUGUGAGUUUCGCCACUAAUUAAUAAACAAAUAUUAUUCUCUUUUCUUUGAUAAUAACCAGCUGCAAUGCGGAAGCUAGUGUUAUACAUUGAGAAAGUUCCCCUCUUGUGGUGUUCGAGACUCUGUUACAAGCUCCCUGUAAAAGCUCUUUGGCCGGCAUGUGCUAUCAACAUUAUCAUAUAAUUUUUAUAGAUUUGAGGAUUUUUGUUUACUUCUAGGGACAAUUGCAUGUGAAUGUGAUAGAUAUUUGAUUCAAAUUUUAAUUGAGAGUCCAUAAAAUUUUAUUGGUUGAAAAUUAUUUAGUGACUGAAUUUAUUUAAAAGGUAAAUAUACUUAAUGAUUAAGAGUUUUGAAUGGGUAGGAACUCAUGGUGGUAAAGUAAUAUGACUCUAUAAAUAUGGAGUAGGUCUUAAUCUUCAGAAUUAAGAUCAAAAUGUAAUCUCUUCGUGAUCUUAAGAGAUAAUCAUAUUAAAAUCGAGGCUUUUGUAAGGGUUUAACAAAUAUAUGGGGGUGUGAGAAAGAGUAGGGAAAAUAAGUUGUAAAAUAUGUGGUAAUGUAUGUUUUCGAGAUACAUUACCUUGAUAUCCGCCCAUGGUCUUCAAGCUCAUGUGACUGAAACUCAGCGGAAUAAUACGAUAUGAUCAUUGUCUUGAGAUUUACAUUGACCAAACGGUAAUAAUCUACUUUUUUUUUCUGAAGGAAAAGAAGCACUUAUUUGUAGUAAUGUAUUCUUCCAACAAUUACUAGUCAUUUUUCAAUAGUGGGAAAUUUUUUACUUAAAUAUUUCUAUAAUAUAAUGACCCUUUUUUUUAUUAUGUGGACCUCAAUAAGUUAAAUUUUGAACUAAUUGAAGUAUAGAAAAUUAUCCAAUAAACUGUCAUGGAAUUUAAAAACUUUAUCAAUGAAAUUAGAAAGUUGUCACAUAUUCAUUAGGAUAUAUUUGAAAAACUUAAUAAAUUAAUCUGAUAAAUGAAAGGAUAUGAAUUUGACAAUAUUUUAAUUUUACUAACAAAGUUAAAAUCUCACCGAGGAUGUAUAGAAUAAUAGUCCUCAAAAGUCAAAAUAAUCCGUUUGUUUUUACAAUUGAAGGACAUUGAUCAUUACAUGCAUUAGUAGUGAAGAUUUGUUGCUUUUCCUUGAAAGAUCAUUACAUUUUGUGCUUAAUUACAUGUUUUUGUUCGGCUUAUAUAUAUAAAGUAUAUAUGCUUUCAUUAGUGCUUGUUGAAUUUUGGCAAUAAAAUGUUUAAUAGAGGUGAUAUGAAUGAAGUGACCAUCCAGAGAUAUUCCAUUCUGAAGUGACUAUCCAGAGAUAUUGCAUUCUAUCUUUUCUGCCUAUUGGGUUCCACUGCUUGGAGCAUUUCUGCAGUUUCUGUAUACUUAUUUGCUACAACUUGAAAGAAAAGAGCAUGACAAGAUUGUAUCCAAAUUUGCCUUUAACUUCAAAUUUACUUCAGCUUGAUCAGCAAAAAAGGAAAAUUUGAGUUCAGAUUAUAGCAUUUUGGUUAUUGAAUGAGUGACUCUUGGAAGAUGGAAAACGUUCAUGCAUGCUUGCGAAGCUCGUUUGGUAAUAUACAGCACAAAAAGCAUUGUGAACCCAACUUCGAAACACAUGAAUCCCAUCUAUUUUUCUAACAACAGACGUGGCAAGCGUGGGCAUACCAAUUCUAAAUUCUAACAUUGGUUUUAGACCACUUUAUCAAAUUUCAAAGCCUUUCUUUAGUGCUUUUUUCCCCUCGGUUUCUUGGGAGAAUUAACUGGUGCUGUGAAAGAGGGCAAUGUUGGGGAUGGCAGGGGACGGAUUAGUGUAAUUUUUUUAUAUUUAUAAUUGAAAAAAAUUAGAGGAAUGCAGAUUAGGGGACAGCAGAUUAUGGAAACGGUGGAAGACAUUUCAGCAGGUGGAUUCUUUAAAGGAGGUGAUAGGCAGUGUAUUAUUCUGUGAGUGCUGAUUUUUUUGGCAAAGGAAGGUGCAAGGAGAGAGUUUUUAUUGGAUAUUGUCAUUACCUUGAGAUUUACAUUGAGCCAGUGGGAUUAAUUUUUUUUUUUUGGUUUUUAAGAAAAAGAAACACUUAUUGUAAACCUUGAACUAAUGGAGGUAAUUGGUUUUAUAUAUAUAUAUAUUGCUCUGGCAAAACAUUGUAAUUUAGAAAUUUAGAAGUAGAGGUAUUCGUUAAUUUUAUUUGCCAAACGAAGAACUCGAGAAGUCAAUUGCAUUAGUAAUUAGAGAAAUUGAGCAUAGCAAAAGCUUUAUAUGGAGAAUAUAACAUGUAUUCUUGAAGCUUACCUUACUUCGAAUGGAUCUUCCAAAGCUGCAUGGAUUUCUACUUCACCAACUCCGGAGAUCGGGAAAGAACAAUUAAGGACCAACCCAAAGCAAAGAAAUAGAAUAAGGGUAAUUACUUCACCAACUCCGACUUCUUUUUUUAGAUAGAAAGCAGAGAAACCAAAAUACUAGAGAUAGCGGCUUUGGGUUUUUUUUUUUUUUUUUUGGCUUUCUGGGGCUAAGGAAAGGAAAAGUAGUUGGGAUCAAAGAACAGUUUUUUGUUUUUUUGUUUUUUUUGGUGAGUUAAAAGAAAAUGAGGAAAGUAGAAACCAAUGAAGAUAAACCAACAGAGAUGCCCUCUUUUUUUGAGUUGAAAGAAAAGUGGAAAUAUCAAGGAACAUGAAAUGGAAGAGUAUGGCAGAAAUCAAACUAAGUCUUUGGGGUAGUGUAGCUCGCAGAUGUGGAGAUGAUAGAAGAAGUUAAAUUUUGAGUUAAUAUAUUGCCCUUGUUUAAAUUACGUAGACCUCAAUAAGUUAAAUUUUGAGUUAAUUAAAUGAUAGAAAAUUAUCCAAUAAACUGUUGAUGGAAUUUAAAAAUUUUAUUAAUGGAAUUAGAAAGUUGUCACGAAUCCAUUAGGAUAUAUUUAAAAAAAAUUAAUCUGAUAACUAAAAGGACAUUUGACAAUAUUUUAACUUUACUAAUGGAGUUAAAAACCCACCGAUUAUUAUACAAAUGAUAAUAAUCCCAACACUAAAUCGCGUCUAUCUAUAAUCCCAACCACCCACUGCUUUUGCUAGUGGAACAUGGAAUUAUUGAUUCACUUUUGAACUAUUUUUAUUUUAUUAUUCAAGACAAGUCACAGCAAAGACUUGGUAUUCUUCCAAGUCUUUUUUUAUUGUCAUUUUCUUUUAUUCAAAUAACAAUCGACCCAAACAUGGUUUGCUUUAUGGAAUUAUUAGCCUCACUUUUCCUUUUUUUUUCUUUUUUAUUGUUAUAUGUGUUGAUCAUUAGAUUAUUAAAGGGAGAUAGAUAAUGACAUCAAUCAUCUUUAGGAGAAAAUUCCAAUUAAAAAAAAGACCAGCAUUGAGAAAAAAAUAAGCUAAAAUUGUCCAAGAAAGUUUUGUCAAUUGUUUUUCUCCUUGUGAUAGGGAAUAUUUUGGUCACUGGUCGCCUAGUUGAUUAUCUCUGCCUCAAAAUUAGUAAAGAAUACUGGCAACUUGGUUAUGAAUAAUGAAUUGAUUAUUGAGAAGAGUAGGUGUAGCAGCAGGACAUUUGGAUAAAUUAUGGGCAACUUGGGUCAACGUGGUCCCAUUGAGAAAGCUACAAUAACAAAGCUACUUCUAUACAUUGAGAAAGUUUAUUUUAUUUAUUGUUUUCCAGCUACAAUCCAAAACAUUGUUAGAAAUCCUUUCAUUUCACAAUUCCCAUACAAAACAAAAGCUUGGCAGAUGAACAACAUCAUUAUUUCUUCAGGUUUGUUUUAUUAAUAAUCAAAUUGAUUUCAUUUCACACUUUGUUAUAUCAACAAGGGCAUUUAUAUUACUUGGCCAAUUGAUUGUUAGCCAACUUGAUUGAGACUUGUGCAUUUACCUCCAUAUAUCAUCAACUCCUCCUUUGUUUGAUCUCUUCUUGAUAAAUAGGUUGCUCAUCAAAAUUUUCUAAUGGCAAACCAAUGUCAGGAUAUAGUUAACUAUUUCAGAGAAAGUGAAAUGCAAAUUUUAACUAAUCAAAAUAGCUUUCCUUUGUUGUUUAAAGAGUGAUUUUCUUUGUAGUUGAUUUCUUAGUUUAAUUAGUCUUUAUUAAUAUAAUAUAUUUAUUUAAAUAUAUAAUAUAUUUCUUAGUUUAGUGAUUUUCUUUUUAUUAAAACAUUUAUUAUAAUAUAUAGCCCUGUUUAAAUUACCUAGACCCCAAUAAGUUAAAUUUUGAGGUAAUUAAAUUAUAGAAAAUUAUCCAAUAAACUGUCAUGGAAUUUAAAAACUUUAUCAACGGAAUUAGAAAGUUGUCCCAUAUUCUUUAGGAUAUAGUUGAAAAAUUAAUAAAUUAAUCUGAUAAAUAAAAGGACAUUUGCAGUUUCUGUAUAAAAGGCUUGGAGCAUUUGCUAGAACUUGAAAAAAGGAAGCAUGACAAGAUUGUAUCCAAAUUUGCCUAUAACUUCAAAUUCAGUUCAGCUUCACCAUCAAGAAAAGAAACUCUCAGUUCAGUUUGUAGUGUUUCAAAUGCAUGCAUGCUUGCGAAGUUCGUUUGGUAAUAUAUAGCACAAAAAGCAUUGUGAACCCAAAUACGAAACACAUGGAUCCCAUCUCUUUUUCUAACAACAGGCGUGGCAAGCGUGGGCGUACCAAUUCUAACAUUGGUUUUAGACCACUUUAUCAAAUUUCAAAGCCAUGUUGUAGUGCUUGUUUCCCCUGGCUUUCUUGGGAGAAUAUCAAGAUUAAGUGGUGCUGUAAAUCAAGGCCAUGUUAGGGAUGGCAGGGGACGGAUUUUAAUAGAGUAUUCGACGUGAUCAUACUCGAUUAAUGUAAUUUUUUAUAAUUAUAUUUGAAACAGAUUGGAGGAAUGCAGUUAAUUGGAUAUUGAACCUCGACAGUAGAUUAUGGAAAUGGUGGAAGACAUUUCAGCAGGUGGAUUCUUUAAAGGAGGUGAUAGGCGGUGUAUUAUUCUGUGAGUGCUGAUUUUUUGGCAAAGGAAGGUGCAAGGAAAGAGAGUUUUUAUUUGGUAGGAAUUCAUGGUGACAAAGUAAUAUGACUAUAUAGAUAUGGAGUGGGUCUUAGUCUUUAGAAUUAAGAUAGACAUGUAAUCUCUAUAUGCUUUUAUGGCAUCCGUCUUUGACCUUUAAGCUCAUGUGCCUAAAAUUCCACGGAAUAAUAAGUUAUUGUCAUUGCCUUGAGAUUCACCUUUAGAAUUCUGAUUCUUCUGAUGCAGCUUUGUUUAUCCUGCAGGGAGCCUUCAAAACCAAACAAAGUGAGACAUUAAGAACAAGAAUUAAUACUAAUUUUCGUUAACAAGUAGUAUAGGACAUAACAAAAAAUAAACAAAAAUCAGUAACAGAGCAAAUUGCAGAUUGUUAAAGACAUGAUAUAUGACUAUGUAACACAAGUCAGACAGAAAAGAGCUAAUAAGCAAAACAGGGUAUUCAUUCAUUAUAUAUGAACUUUCAGGAGCAAGACAGAGCUUCUAUUUUGAUCCAGCCAAAAUACAGACACUAACAAAGUCGGUGAAGUUUUUUUUUUUUUUUUGAGUUCAAAGAAAAUUGAAGUAGAAAUCAACUAUAAUUAAAAGGACGGGAAAUUAGAAAACAACAGACUUUCACUUAUCUUGUUUUGAAUGCACGCAGAUAAUUCUGCUUCUGAUAACAAAAACAGUAGUCGAACAUAGAAAGUAGAAACUCUCAAGGCAAAGACUUGUUUUCUUUGGAAUCCCUUGUUCAUUUUAUUGAUACUAUUUUUCUUAUUCACAUCCUUAGUGGAAGACAAGGGCCCCAACAUCUUUUGCCUUAUCAUUGACUAGUUCUCUCUCAGAGAAGUAAAAAAAGAGAAAAGGAUGGAGUCAAGGAGAUGCCCUGCUACGGGCCCUACUGUUUGGCUUUCCAGGAAGUGUUAUGGAAAGAGGAUGGGAAUCUAUCUUCUUGGUUUAGUUUAUUGUAUGCUUUGCUUUCAUGAUCUUAUCUUUUACUAUUUUAAAACUUUUUGAAUAUUAAAGUUAUGAAUGAAAUAAUUUUUACAAAUAAUUCUAAAUUUAUUAUAAGUAAAAAGUCAAGUAUGGUCCAACCAAGUAAUUACUUGAGCAAUAUGUAAACCUUUAUCAUGAAUAAGAAUAAUUUUAUACAGGUAAUAAUUUCAUGUCAAGUCAAGGUUCCAAUGCAGUAAACGGUAACUUGAUUAUCCAGCUGAUACAUUCUUUUAACAUCUCUACAUAUUUAUGGCUUUUGAAUUAUUGAUCUAAUACCAGAAAGAACAUCUAAGCCUAAUUGCUCUAAUCAAAACUAUUUGAACUAAUUUCCAAUAAAUAAAAGCAAGAGCUUCAAGGAAUAACCCGACCCAUCAAACUUUAUUUGGAUUCAAAAAUGAGACAGAAUUGAUCAGUGUAUUAAUAUAUUAUAAACAACUUUAAUAACCAAGGCUAAUGUGACAAAUUCUAUGCAAUAAUAGAGUUCACACAAUCUCUCCUUAGAAUUUUAUUCCUUUUCUUUAUCAAAAAAUCAUGCCUUGUCCUGGUCCCAGUAUCUGUCUCAUUAUUUAGUUGGGAGGGUAAAAGAAAAUAAAAUCCCCAUUUCUACCUUCCUUCUCGUCUUCCCCAUAGAACAGUGAUAGUGGGCCUACACUCUGAAAAAUUGUCUGUAAAUGUUGUUGGUUUUACCGUAUUCUCGAUCCCAUCUCCAUUGCAACGUAGUUAUAGGUAUAAAUGGCACCCAAACAAUGCUUUUCAUCCUUUUUGGCUAGUAGGACAUGGAACCACUAUUAUGAGCACUUUUGAAUUAUAGGUUUUUUUUUUCUAGUCUCUUUUUAUUUUCAUUUUUUUAUUCAAAUAGCAAUGGAGCCAAACAUCAUUUGCUUCACGGAAUUAUAGAUCUCACUUUUUCUUUUAUAAAAAAGCUUUAUUUAACGGGUAAUUAAUAUCUCAAUUCUAAAAUCUUAAAAUAUUAAAAUACGUUAUAUAUUUAGAUCGUUAUAUUAUAAAUUUUAACUACUAUCAAAAUUGAUUAUUAGAGGGAGACAAAUAAUUAAAUCCAUCGACUCAAUGAGAAAUUUCAAUUAAAAAAUGGCUAGUAUUGAGAAAAGCAAAGCUAAAAGGAAUUUUAAGAAAGUAUUGUCAAAUUUUUUUCUCCUCGUGAUUGGGAAAACUUUAUUUAACCACUAAUGGGAAAAAAAAUGGGGGAAGAAAUAGUUUUGGUCAAUCUUCGGCUAAUUGACUAUCUCUACCUCAAAGUAACAAAGAAACAUCAAUAUGGAAUCAAGACUCUUCUUGGCUCUUGCCUUGAAAGAAUUAAGUCUACCACAGAAACUGAAUUUAUCAAAGUAAAAGGGAAAUUUCCAGAACAUGCAAGUAAACAUAACUAUGUACUACUCAUUCAUACAAGUAGUUACAGGUGACUAACAUUACCGUACAAAAAAGAGUUUAACAUCGUAAAAGAGAAGCAAAGAUCAGCCAGCUGCAAAUCAACUAAUCACAGAGAAAACCAUGUACUCUUGGAAUACUAGAAUUUCACUCAAAAGUUAAGAACAUGUACCAAACAAGCAAAUGCAAUAAGAGUCGUAGAGUAAACUAGUUCUUCACCACUGCAAAAUAAAGCUGAAAGCAGAGACGGUGCCAUAAAGUAGACAGCUCAAAUGUUGUUAAGCACAAUCAAGUACCAACCACCUGUAUCAUUGAAGCAAAGAACCUGUCAUAAAUCAUAAGCCAUUAGACAAGCACCUUAUUUAAGAAAAGAAAUAAAAUUGGGUUGAAAAGCCAUAUCUACCUGGGUUAGUUAUCCUCUGCUUCGUCCACGUUCAAUAUAGAGGUAGUGUCUCUUCCUGAUAUCCACAAAGCCAAAAUACAUCGUUGCAGGCGGCCUGAUUAUCAACUAUUUCUUCCUUAGUGAUCAAACCCUCCCUUCUAUCAUUCUCAACUUGUUCGGGUGCCUUCAAAACAAAUUAACAAAAAACAAAUGGCAUAAAGCAGUAAAUCAAUACCGUUUUAAUUAUUUUCUUCUUAAGAUGCUAGGGAAGAAAAAGCCAACCUUUAUUAGUCUUUUUUUUUUCCUGAUCUGAGGAUGAGUCAAUUUGAAUCUUGCUUAUUGAGCAAAAAAUCAUACAUCAUUUAUUAAGUCAAAUGUGUGAGAAUAAUUAUUAAUUAAUUUAUUUUAGAAGAUAAUUAAUUUCACGUUUGAUUUUUAUGAAUAUAUACUAGAGUUUUUCAAAAAUAUUAAUAGAUAUUCCUUCCAUCCCAUUAUGGUUAUCUUUCAGAACAUUUUCGAUCAAACGAAUUCAACUUUAAUUAUUAUUUUCCAUAAUGUAUAUCUCAUCGUUAGUUCUAUCAAUAUCAUUGUCAAGAACGACUUAUUAAGCCUAACAAAAGAAAAAGCUGAGUGGGUACCUCUGUUAUGGCAUGCACAACACGUUUUGAAUCAAUGCUGAAGCUUGUACUCAACUUGGGGCAUUCUUUUACUUCAGCAUAAUGCAUACAGGGGAAUCGAAAAUGGUAACCCUGAGACAAACUCUUGAGGCUUGGCAGCUCUUUAAGAAGCAGUCCUUGCAAGUUAGGGAGCACUAUUCCCUUCUGAUCAUCUUCAACGUCUAAGUUAAAGACUCGCUCAAGUUUAGAGGCCCCAUCAAUUGAGAUGAUCUUGACUUUUGAAGGAGAACAGGUGAUACUAAGAGGAAAUAAGCUUUUCAAGUUGCUGCACUUAUAAAUUCUUAUAAUUUCAAGACUGGGGAAGGAUAUAGGUUGGAGAUGAGCCUGUGAUGAUGAUGCUGAAGUUUGAUCCAUUUCAAUGAUUUGUUCCAAUUCCUCACAAUGAUUUAUCUCCAAAUGGGUCAAAUGAGGCAAAUUUCGAACAAGCAUAGGAGAGAGGAGGUAUUUCAACCUAUUACACUUUGACACAUGUAACCAUCUAAGACAUUGAAGGCUUGCAACUUGGAUGGGACCCUGCAACUGAUGUAAAUGCUCUAGCUGUAUAUUCUCUACCCUUGAGAAGAAUUGUCCAGCUUGCAUUUGAAAUAUCUUCACACAAUUUCCAACAGUUAUAUAUUCCAAAUUUACUAAACUCCAUCUUGAUUGAGAAUUAAUUGUGUUGCACCCCUUGUCAUUUCCCAAGUCAGAGAGGUAUAAUUCCUGCAAAGAUAUUAAAAUAUCUUAAUUUCAUUAGAAAUUGAAUAAAUUACAAAGGUCCAACAUAUUGUUACAUAAAUAUUGAAAGAGAAAAGUGCCUUGAAUCCCAAAGAAAGUACACAUCACUCUAUGCAUCUAAUGCCUCAUAAAUCAAGCAAUUACUUUAAUAUUUGUUUGAUUAUAAGUUUACACUAUGAAACUUGAUUACAAAGGUCGAUUAACAUAUGACUUGAAGAGUACAAAAUCGAAAGCGAACCUUUUUUGUAUGAAAUGAGGGAAAUAGCAAUUUUUUCUGUAUAUCAAUCUGGAAAUAGCACCCAGUCGUGCUUAGUUCAGUAUAAGUGCAAACAAAGUGGGGAAGGUAUUUUUUUUGUUUACAGGUUCUUGGAUGGGGAGAUUUUGUACUGAUAUUAUAUCUAUUGCUACAUUUCAGGGGUGAUGUUCUGAUCGCCCAUAUUAAUGCAUAUUAACUUUCAGAUAAAAAAACGAAAAAAAUCAGAAUUAACUUCUAAACUAAUGUGCUAUUCUUUUUUUUGCUUUUAAUUCAUGAGUUUUGAUUUUUAUAUUCAUCAAAAAUAAAGAGUUUAAAAUUAUUUUAAUGGCAAUUUUAAGAUAUCGUUGAAUUAGUUUAUGAAGGUUGAAAAGAUUUGAGUCCAAAGCAAAAUCUGGAACCACAAUUGAGGGAAAAGAGUAUAAAAAAAGUACCUUUAGUUGAGCCUGCUGGUUAACUUCUUUUUGAAUGGUGAAAUUUGACAAUUUAAGACAAUUGAAAACUACCAACUUCUCCAAGGAAGGCGCUGCAAUGAGAAAAUUUUUCGAGCAAAAGCAACUCAAAUUUAUCAAGUUUCCAAGCCGGAGAUCUUGUAGGCAAGGGAGCACAAUGGCACGACCAACUCCAUUCUCUUCUUUUG
rnacentral:lncRNA from 1 species